rnacentral:rRNA from 1 species
UACAGAGGUCUCAAGCGUUGUUCGGAUUCAUUGGGCGUAAAGGGUGCGUAGGCGGCGCGGUAAGUCGGGUGUGAAAUUUCGAGGCUUAACUUCGAAACUGCAUUCGAUACUGCCGUGCUCGAGGACUGGAGAGGAGACUGGAAUUUACGGUGUAGCGGUGAAAUGCGUAGAUAUCUGAAGGAACAUCAGUGGCGAAAGCGACUUCCUGGACCAAUACUGACGCUCAUGUGCGAAAGCGUGGGGAGCAAACAGG